AGUGAACGCUGGCGGUAGGCCUAACACAUGCAAGUCGAACGGCAGCACAGUAAGAGCUUGCUCUUACGGGUGGCGAGUGGCGGACGGGUGAGGAAUACAUCGGAAUCUACUUUUUCGUGGGGGAUAACGUAGGGAAACUUACGCUAAUACCGCAUACGACCUACGGGUGAAAGCAGGGGAUCUUCGGACCUUGCGCGAUUGAAUGAGCCGAUGUCGGAUUAGCUAGUUGGCGGGGUGAAGGCCCACCAAGGCGACGAUCCGUAGCUGGUCUGAGAGGAUGAUCAGCCACACUGGGACUGAGACACGGUCCAGACUCCUACGGGAGGCAGCAGUGGGGAAUAUUGGACAAUGGGCGCAAGCCUGAUCCAGCCAUACCGCGUGGGUGAAGAAGGCCUUCGGGUUGUAAAGCCCUUUUGUUGGGAAAGAAAGGCAGCAGGUUAAUACCCCGCUGUUCUGACGGUACCCAAAGAAUAAGCACCGGCUAACUUCGUG
rnacentral:rRNA from 1 species